rnacentral:rRNA from 1 species
UACGUAGGGUGCAAGCGUUGUCCGGAAUCAUUGGGCGUAAAGCGCGCGUAGGUGGCCACAUAAGUCCGUUGUGAAAGUCAAAGGCUCAACCUUUGAAAGCCGAUGGAUACUGUGUGGCUAGAGUACGGAAGAGGCGAGUGGAAUUCCUGGUGUAGCGGUGAAAUGCGCAGAUAUCAGGAAGAACACCCGUGGCGAAGGCGGCUCUCUGGGACGGUACUGACGCUGAGACGCGAAAGCGUGGGGAGCGAACAGG